rnacentral:rRNA from 1 species
AGCUCCAGUAGCGUAUAUUAAAGCUGUUGCAGUUAAAAAGCUCGUAGUUGGAUCUCGGGCCCAGGCCUGCGGUCCGCCGUGAGGCGAGUACUGCAGUCCUGGCCUUCCUCUCGGCUUUCGCCCGGUGCCCUUAACUGAGUGCCAGGAGAGGCCGGAACGUUUACUUUGAAAAAAUUGGAGUGUUCAAAGCAGGCCUCGCGCCUGAACAGCAGAGCAUGGAAUAAUGGAAUAGGACCUCGGUUCUAUUGCGUUGGUUUUCGGAACUCGAGGUAAUGAUCAAGAGGGACUGACGGGGGCAUUCGUAUUGCGGUGUGAGAGGUGAAAUUCUUGGAUCGCCGCAAGACGGCCGACUGCGAAAGCAUUUGCCAAGAAUGUUUUCAUUA